CUGCUGGUCGGGUUAUGUUAUUGUCUCCCAAGGUCCACACGGGGAUGCCCAUCCUCGUAUUCAUCUUUCUGAGGAAUUGAGUGACCAAUCCUGGCCUGACACGCUGGAAUCGAGAGAUGCAGAAGGGGACAGUGAUGACGUUAGCUAAUAUCUCACUCCUGAGGAUUGCUGAGGCUAAAAUGGAACAACUCCUGCACGCAUCUGGCUGCGGACCAGGAACAUACUGUGGAGCUCCUGGAGACCACUAAAGUCAAUGUAAAUAAUACAGCGUCCACCCUGACACUGCAUCAACCCAGCUAUAUGGAACAAAACACUGCCUCUCAUGGAUGUAGAGUUAUUAAGUCAGCAUAGUGGUGCCUCUAGCCAGACAGGAACCCCCCU